rnacentral:tRNA from 1 species
GAGGGUAUAACUCAGUGGUAGAGCAUGUGCUUAGCAUGCAUGAGGUCCUGGGUUCAAACCCCGGUUACCUCC